rnacentral:rRNA from 1 species
CCUACGGGGAGCUGCAGUGGGGAAUAUUGCACAUGGGGGGAACCUUGAUGCAGCAACGCCGCGUGGGUGAAGAAGUACUCCGGUAUGUAACGCCCUGUCAGCAGGGAAGAAAAUGACGGUACCUGACAAAGAAGCCCCGGCUAACUACGUGCCAGCAGCCGUGGUAAUUCGUAGGGGGCAAGCGUUCUCCGGAGUUACUGGGUGUAAAGGGAGCGUAGACGGCAAGGGAAGUCUGGAGUGAACGCCCGUGGCCCAACCACGGGACUGCUUUGGGAACGGUGUUGCUGGAGUGCAGGGGGGGUAAGCGGAAUUCCUAGUGUAGCGGUGAAAUGCGUAGAGAUUAGGAGGAACACCGGUGGCGAAGGCAGCUUACUGGACUGUAACUGACGUUGAGGCUCGAAGGCGUGGGGAGCAAACAGGAUUAGAUACCCCUGUAGUC